rnacentral:misc_RNA from 1 species
AGGAGUAACAGUACAUAUGAGAGAAACAUGUCCAUGUCCACUGAGGGAUGAUUGGAGUAAGCGAGUAAGUUUAGAAUCUCGAUAAGGAACAUGGCAUGCCUUCCCCUCACUCAGUUUUCCAAUGACAGUUCCUAGAGUCAGCAGACUUUUGUUAAUGUAUGAUCCUUCCUUUCUCCGUAAUCCCGUUGUUUCAGUUUUAGAGCUCUCAGACCCUGCUA